rnacentral:rRNA from 1 species
GACGAACGCUGGCGGCGUGCUUAACACAUGCAAGUCGAGCGGAAAGGCCCGGCGUUUGUGGGUUGCUCGAGUGCCGAACGGGUGAGUAACACGUGAGUAACCUGCCCUUGACUUUCGGAUAACUUCAGGAAACUCGGGCUAAUACCCCAUAGGAGCUCCUGCUGCAUGGUGGGGUUUGGAAAGUUUCGGCGGUUGGGGAUGGACUCGCGGCUUAUCAGCUUGUUGGUGGGGUAGUGGCUUACCAAGGCUUUGACGGGUAGCCGGCCUGAGAGGGUGACCGGCCACAUUGGGACUGAGAUACGGACCAGACUCCUACGGGAGGCAGCAGUGGGGAAUCUUGCACAAUGGGCGGAAGUCUGCUGCAGCAACGUCGGGUGCGGGAUGACGGCCUUCGGGUUGUAAACCGCUUUCGCCUGUGACGAAGCGUGAGUGACGGUAAUGGGUAAAGAAGCAACGGCUAACUACGUG